AUUGAACGCUGGCGGCAGGCCUAACACAUGCAAGUCGAGCGAGCGGCGGACGGGUGAGUAAUGUCUGGGAAACUGCCUGAUGGAGGGGGAUAACUCCUGGAAACGGUAGCUAAUACCGCAUACCAUCAGAUGUGCCCAGAUGGGAGUAGCUCGUUGGUGGGGUAACGGCUCACCUAGGCGACGAUCCCUAGCUGGUCUGAGAGGAUUACCAGCCACACUGGAACGGAGACACGGUCCAGACUCCUACGGGAGGCAGCAGUGGGGAAUUUUGGACAAUGGGCGCAAGCCUGAUGCAGCCAUGCCGAGUGUGUGAAGAAGGCCUUCGGGUUGUAAAGCACUUUCAGCGGGGAGGCGUUACCCGCAGAAGAAGCACCGGCUAACUCCGUGCCAGCAGCCGCGGUAAUUC
rnacentral:rRNA from 1 species